GAAGAUGCCACCCACAUUUUAGGGGGCAGCCUGAGCCUUUUCCCAAGCAAGAUGCCUCCUGGGGAGACUAGUGCAGACAGGCAGUUCUGAUUAUGUAUGCAAAUACAGGUCUGGCCCUGAAGCUUAUUUGAGAGCCACACAGCUCAGCUAAGCCACCCUGGAGAAAGAAUCUUACAAAGAAUACUAAAGAGCAUCCAAGUGUGAAGAAUGAAACACACAGAUGAGCCCCAAGAGGAUGAGGAAGGGAGAGGCUGGUGGGGGUCUGAUUCUCAUCUCCACCUUAACAGAAUGCACAUGAAGUCCAGCCAUGGUGUAGCCAAGGAGACCCACUAAGACCACCAAAAGCUUGGAAAUGAGGAUGCAGGGGCAAAGGACGGCAUUAUAGGCGCACACUUGAUUUCCUAGAAGUCUCGGACAAACUUUGGCAUGCAGACAGCUUUCCACUUCAAGAGUUUGCCCUUCACUUCUGACAUCACUCUCCAGAAUCAUGAGCACAACCCAGAAAUGUGGUUCUUGAGACCACCUUGCAAAUAAAUGACCUAUACCCAAUCUUCAUCUCAGCAUCUGUUUUGAGGGAAUUCAAACUAAGACAGGAGCCCAGAGAAGCUAAAGGAUUUCUGUUCCUUUUCCCUGGGGAGGCUACUCUUCCCACUAAAUGAACUUCUUUUCUGAAGAUCCACUGAACUGGCAGAGUCCAUUCAAUGAGACAUCUUGAGCCUCAGCCCCUGAAGCUCCACGCCAAGGCUCUCAACAUGAUUCUAUUCCAUGUGCAUUCAUUCUGUUGAAUAAACCACAGUUCAGCUUUGUUCAGUAA
rnacentral:lncRNA from 10 species